rnacentral:lncRNA from 1 species
GGGGAGAGAGCUGAAGAUGCUGAGGAUAAACCCUCCCAAACAGCAGAUUAUGAACUGGUGGGAGCGAGCACAGAAAAAGGAGACCUCAUUAGCUUCCUUUCCUCCUCUUCUGCCAGCUCCAAGGAGGUCUCCGCUUUAAUGAAUUACUGAUUUCUCGCUUCCGUUGCCGAAGUAAAAAGUUCACACUUUGUCCCUCUUUGCCUUUUAAGCUCGGGGAGAUUUAUCGUCACUCUUAAAAGUCUCCUCUCUCUUGGAGCAAAUGAAAUCAAGGACCCAAAUGACCGAUUUCUAAUUGCUAACAUGAGUCCUUUACUGAAUCACGCGUGCACUUCAAAGCGAACGCACUUUAUUGAGAUCGCAAAGAUUUUUACCGUACAAUUUGGCCGAACACUCGGCUGUUUUCUGUUCUAUGCAAUUUCCUUUGCACUUGGCCAUAAUGGGGCAUUUUCUUAAAUCUUCAAAUUUAAUGUUUAAAGGGCUUUAUUUUGCGACAUUAACUGCACUGCCAGUCUCCCUCUCUUCUCACUCUUCCACACACUACUCCCCAGCUCCCCCAUUGCUCACAGAAACUAGUUCAUAGCCCAGGUACA